AAAAGGUGCUCGGUUUUGAGGUUUGUGAAAGCUUCCGACCAAAAAGUGCCCAAUAGUUGCUUUUUGAAGCUGCCUGGAAACCUAACUGCUAACAAGAAAGUCGCGACGUUUUUCUUUUGAGUAGCCUUCUAUUUGUAAACCUGAGAUACACUGUUACAACUAAAGUACCAUUGAAGGUGGAAAGGCAGUGUUUGCUACUACUGCUACUAUUUGCUACUACUGUCUCCCCGAAACUGUGGGAGAAAUGUUCUUGGCUGCUCAAGGUUAAAACCUCCGCCUUUAGAUCCCUUCUUGGAUGACGUUUGUGCGUGUGUGUUCAGUGCUGCGAAUGUAGAUGCAGAGCUGUCAGCAGUAGCCAGCAUUCAUUCUCCAAUAACGGGACUAUUUUGAAAAUUACUGUGUUGACAGUGACAUUGUAUGAAGGCUAAAAAAUACAUGGUGCUGUUUGCAAGAAACGAUGUGUUCUUCUGUAAAGCUUCCUGCUAGGGAGGCUGUAUGCAAUAAUCACAAAUGCCCACCAAUGUUUUCACUGAAAUACGCUCCUGAAAUCUACUGUAUGCAUACUUCAGAUGACAGCAGUGACUUCCACACUCUACUGAUUUUUCGUGAGAACAUCUGUUGACUUCAAACACCGUCAAAAAUGUUAAUCUGAACCUACAAGCUGUAAUAACCAGGUGUAGCCUGUCAAGAUCAGGCCUGCCUCCAGUCUCCAGCAACUGGUCCAGCUGCAACUCACUGGGGGACAAGAUCACUCUCUGCAAUCACCCUCUACAGAAUUUAUGCAUCAUGUAUGAGAUGUAUGAAUAUGCAACAGGCUAUUGCUUUUAAGGGCUAAUCCUCUGUUAACAUGAGUCAUUUUCAGGCUUAUUUUGCCCAGAAAGAGGUACCUGGACUGUUGGUAACUCUUUGUUUUUAUUGUCUCAUAUUGUCCUAAAUACUAAGUGUCCAAAUUUUUAUUACUCUAAUUACAUUACUAUAUUUAUAUCCAUUUUAUUACUAUUAAACUUUUAAAAUUCUAAAAACAAGUGAUUGGCAUUUUUCACAAUCCCCUUAAUCUUUUUUGUUUAUCUCACAGUCUCAAAGUUUGAGUCAGGCAUCUUUAAGGAGGGAUGGGCUUCUGUGGUUGUCUUUACACAGUUUUUGCUAUAAUGGAUGAAAUCCCUUCAUAACAAUGUUUAAGGCAUAAACCAUUCCAGUCUCUCACACAGAACAAAUGCACUUUUUUCCUCGUUUUUACACAAAGCCAUUACAAUUUCACACAGCAAAAGGACAAUGAAAGUAACAAAACCCUAAGAGCACCACUUUCAGAUUAGAAAUUUGUAGGCAUUUGAGAUAAUAUCUAUAUAUUGCUAUAUUUUUGCUUGAGUAUUGGCAUACUCAAUUCCCUACUCCUUAUACUUUUCAAUGAAAUGUUUUGGAAGGAGAUGUUUCUCACCCUACUUAACUCCCUUUUCUAGCUCCCAGGAUUAACUACAAAUUUUGCCACCCACUGAAUAGGGUGGAGUAUCUGGUUGAAGAGACCAAAGGCUUCAAGCAUGAAAUUCCUUUCAGGUCUGAUCUACUUCAAUAAGAGGCCCAUAGGGCACUUCUACAUAAAGAAGAAUAAUUUGCCUUUCAUUUGAAAAUAGAGACUACUGCAUUGUCACCAUCAUAUUUUCUGAUCCUUUGCCCAGGAUUUCUUCUCCUGAGAAGCUGAGAUGCCUCAGAGAAAAAUGAAAACAAUAUUAUCUCAUUUGCUUCUCCUGUGUUUUGCUGCUUUGGAAUGUGGUUGGAGAUUGUUUAUCCAACAUGUGAAUGGUUUUAACUUAAUGACCAAUCGCAGUCAGGCUGUGCUGGGACUCUGGAAGAGAGAGUCACAAGAUUCAUUAGUAUCUUGUUAAGCCUUCUGUAAGUAUCCUUUCUCUAUUCUUUAGCAUAGUUUUAGUAUAGCAUUCUUUAAUAUAGUAACAUAUAAUAAUAAAUUAGCUUUCUAAGAA